CGGAGCUUGCUCCACCGGAAAAAGAAGAGUGGCGAACGGGUGAGUAACACGUGGGUAACCUGCCCAUCAGAAGGGGAUAACACUUGGAAACAGGUGCUAAUACCGUAUAACAAUCGAAACCGCAUGGUUUUGAUUUGAAAGGCGCUUUCGGGUGUCGCUGAUGGAUGGACCCGCGGUGCAUUAGCUAGUUGGUGAGGUAACGGCUCACCAAGGCCACGAUGCAUAGCCGACCUGAGAGGGUGAUCGGCCACAUUGGGACUGAGACACGGCCCAAACUCCUACGGGAGGCAGCAGUAGGGAAUCUUCGGCAAUGGACGAAAGUCUGACCGAGCAACGCCGCGUGAGUGAAGAAGGUUUUCGGAUCGUAAAACUCUGUUGUUAGAGAAGAACAAGGAUGAGAGUAACUGUUCAUCCCUUGACGGUAUCUAACCAGAAAGCCACGGCUAACUACGUGCCAGCAGCCGCGGUAAUACGUAGGUGGCAAGCGUUGUCCGGAUUUAUUGGGCGUAAAGCGAGCGCAGGCGGUUUCUUAAGUCUGAUGUGAAAGCCCCCGGCUCAACCGGGGAGGGUCAUUGGAAACUGGGAGACUUGAGUGCAGAAGAGGAGAGUGGAAUUCCAUGUGUAGCGGUGAAAUGCGUAGAUAUAUGGAGGAACACCAGUGGCGAAGGCGGCUCUCUGGUCUGUAACUGACGCUGAGGCUCGAAAGCGUGGGGAGCAAACAGGAUUAGAUACCCUGGUAGUCCACGCCGUAAACGAUGAGUGCUAAGUGUUGGAGGGUUUCCGCCCUUCAGUGCUGCAGCUAACGCAUUAAGCACUCCGCCUGGGGAGUACGACCGCAAGGUUGAAACUCAAAGGAAUUGACGGGGGCCCGCACAAGCGGUGGAGCAUGUGGUUUAAUUCGAAGCAACGCGAAGAACCUUACCAGGUCUUGACAUCCUUUGACCACUCUAGAGAUAGAGCUUCCCCUUCGGGGGCAAAGUGACAGGUGGUGCAUGGUUGUCGUCAGCUCGUGUCGUGAGAUGUUGGGUUAAGUCCCGCAACGAGCGCAACCCUUAUUGUUAGUUGCCAUCAUUCAGUUGGGCACUCUAGCAAGACUGCCGGUGACAAACCGGAGGAAGGUGGGGAUGACGUCAAAUCAUCAUGCCCCUUAUGACCUGGGCUACACACGUGCUACAAUGGGAAGUACAACGAGUCGCGAAGUCGCGAGGCUAAGCUAAUCUCUUAAAGCUUCUCUCAGUUCGGAUUGUAGGCUGCAACUCGCCUACAUGAAGCCGGAAUCGCUAGUAAUCGCGGAUCAGCACGCCGCGGUGAAUACGUUCCCGGGCCUUGUACACACCGCCCGUCACACCACGAGAGUUUGUAACACCCGAAGUCGGUGAGGAACCUUUGGAGCCAGC
rnacentral:rRNA from 1 species